GAUGAACGCUGCCAGAAUGCUUAACACAUGCGAGUCUUUGGCGAAUCUGUGCUUGCACCGGCUAGCCAAGUCGGACGGGUGAGUAACGUGUAAAGAACUUGCCCUGCAGACAGGGAUAACAGACGGAAACGACUGAUAACACAUGAUACAGUAGCCGGCACGCAUGUGCCUUGCAAUGAAAAGAGAUGCUGCCGCGGAGGCUUGUGUCCUAUUAGCUUGUUGGUGAGGUGACGGCUCACCAAGGCGAUGAGAGGUAACCGGUCUGCAAAGGGGAACGGCCAAAGGUGCACUGGGAGGCAGCGCUUACGCCUGAGGGAGGAAGCAGUGAGGAAUAAUGAACAAUGAGGGCGACCCUGAUCAAGCAAUUCUGUGUGUACGAAGAAGGUUUUCGGAAUGUAAAGUGCUUUCAGAAGGGAAGAAGAAAGUGACGGUACCUGCAGAAGAAGCGACGGCUAAAUACGUG
rnacentral:rRNA from 1 species